AAAAACCGAGUGAACUUUUUGG
rnacentral:miRNA from 1 species